GACGAACCGUGCGAACGUUGUUCGGAAUCACUGGGCUUAAAGGGCGCGUAGGCGGGCUGACAAGUCUGGGGUGAAAUACCACGGCUCAACCGUGGAACUGCCUCAGAUACUGUCGGCCUCGAGGGAGGUAGGGGCGUGCGGAACUGUAGGUGGAGCGGUGAAAUGCGUUGAUAUCUACAGGAACUCCGGUGGCGAAAGCGGCGCGCUGGACCUCUUCUGGCGCUGAGGCGCGAAAGCUAGGGGAGCAAACGGG
rnacentral:rRNA from 1 species